UGAGGAAUAUUGCGCAAUGGGCGAAAGCCUGACGCAGCGACACCGCGUGAAGGAUGAAGGUCUUAGGAUUGUAAACUUCUGUUAAGUGAGAAGAAAGAACUACCUCUAAUAUAGGUAGGUGAUGACGUUAUCACUAUAGAAAGCACCGGCUAAUCUCGUGCCAGCAGCCGCGGUAAUACGAGAGGUGCAAGCGUUAUUCGGAAUUAUUGGGCGUAAAGGGUGCGUAGACGGCUUUUUAAGUCUUUUGUUUAAUUUCUCGGCCUAACUGAGAGUCAGCGAGAGAUACUGAAAAGCUAGAGGAUGGAAGAGAGAAGUGGAAUUAUCGGAGUAGCGGUUAAAUGCGUAGAUCUCGAUAGGAACACCGAUGGCGAAAGCAGCUUCUUGGUCCAUAUCUGACGUUGCAGCACGAAAGCGUGGGGAGCAAACAGG
rnacentral:rRNA from 1 species